rnacentral:lncRNA from 1 species
GUGAGGGUGCAGACGGCCAGGGAGCAUCACCACAGCGGAUGGCAGUGGGCGCCUGGCCUUUGGGGGCUCUUUUUCGUGUCCCCCCUCUGUCCAUUGGUCAGGCCCCCCUUUCUGGAAUGCAGAUUCCUGUCCUCGCAGUCAUUUUGCAGGCUUAGGCUCUGUGGCUCCUAAAUUCAGAGUGGAAAGCUCACGGCGCCACCUGGUGCCCACUCGUCACAUCUGACAGGCUGAGGCGAGCUGUGGGCAGCGGGGCUGGAAGUGCGCGCGGAGACGCGGGUCCCACAGCGCGGGCGGCGAGCGACGCGGGCCGCAGAGGCAGGCACUGCUACCCCUCCCGAGGCCCAGUUAGGAAUUGGAGCAGAAGCUCUACAGGAAGAGAACAGGAGAACCUUUCCUUGACUUGGUCUGCAGUCUUUGCUCACAUCACCGAGUAGAGGAUUUUUCUCCUCUAUGGAACACACUGUACAGGCUGAGUAAACAUCGCAUCUCAGCUGUAUGGACUUCGUUACAACCAACCCUCGGGAACAGCUCAAGUUC